rnacentral:rRNA from 1 species
GAUGAACGCUAGCGACAGGCUUAACACAUGCAAGUCGAGGGGCAGCAUAAAAGUAGCAAUACUUUGGUGGCGACCGGCGCACGGGUGAGUAACGCGUAUGCAACCUACCUAUCAGAGGGGAAUAACCCGGCGAAAGUCGGACUAAUACCGCAUAAAACAGGGGCACCGCAUGGUGAUAUUUGUUAAAGAAAUUCGCUGAUAGAUGGGCAUGCGUUCCAUUAGGUAGUUGGUGAGGUAACGGCUCACCAAGCCGACGAUGGAUAGGGGAACUGAGAGGUUGGUCCCCCACACUGGUACUGAGACACGGACCAGACUCCUACGGGAGGCAGCAGUGAGGAAUAUUGGUCAAUGGGCGAGAGCCUGAACCAGCCAAGUCGCGUGAAGGAAGGAGGAUCUAUGGUUCGUAAACUUCUUUUGCAGGGGAAUAAAGUGCAGGACGUGUCCUGUUUUGUAUGUACCCUGAGAAUAAGGAUCGGCUAACUCCGUGCCAGCCGCCGCCGUAA